UACAGAGGGUGCAAGCGUUAAUCGGAAUUAUUGGGCGUAAAGAGCACGUAGGCGGAUUAGAAAGUUGGAUGUGAAAGCCCCGGGCUCAACCUGGGAACUGCAUUCAAAACUACUAGUCUAGAGUAUAGGAGAGGAAAGCGGAAUUUCCGGUGUAGCAGUGAAAUGCGUAGAUAUCGGAAGGAACAUCAGUGGCGAAGGCGGCUUUCUGGCCUAAUACUGACGCUGAGGUGCGAAAGCGUGGGGAGCAAACAGG
rnacentral:rRNA from 1 species